GGUCCUGGGGCUGAGCGACCCAGGACCCCUGGGCAGUCAUGGACCUGUUAUAUUGUUAUGUAUUUUUGGUGUUGCUCCCCUUUCUCUAUGCUUGUGCAUAUGUGUCUGUGUGUAUGUGUCUCUGUGGGCGCCUUCAGGCCUGGUGGGUGUGGCCCUGCUGGCGGACUGGCCACACCCGAAGCCACACACCUGCUCCUGAUCAGGCCUCGUCGGGGGAGCUACUUAAGAGAGUCUUGGAGCUCCCACCGACGCGGGAUCAUUCCAUGAGACUCCACGAGAGGUGUGGAGAGCCAGACAGCAGCCAGCACGGGGAGUGCUGAGACACGGGAGCGGAGAGCACAAACACUGGGAGAAGACACGACACGGGAGUCUGGGGAAAGCACGGGGAUUUAUUGUUGUUGUUUCCAUCACUGUAAAUAAACGCACUGUUCGCACACA